rnacentral:rRNA from 1 species
AGAGUUUGAUCAUGGCUCAGAACGAACGCUGGCGGCAUGCCUAACACAUGCAAGUCGAACGAGACCUUCGGGUCUAGUGGCGCACGGGUGCGUAACGCGUGGGGAUCUGCCCUUUGCUUCGGAAUAACAGUUAGAAAUGACUGCUAAUACCGGAUGAUGACUUCGGUCCAAAGAUUUAUCGGCAAAGGAUGAACCCGCGUAGGAUUAGCUAGUUGGUGGGGUAAAGGCCUACCAAGGCGACGAUCCUUAGCUGGUCUGAGAGGAUGAUCAGCCACACUGGGACUGAGACACGGCCCAGACUCCUACGGGAGGCAGCAGUGGGAAUAUUGGACAAUGGGCGAAAGCCUGAUCCAGCAAUGCCGCGUGAGUGAUGAAGGCCUUAGGGUUGUAAAGCUCUUUUACCCGGGAUGAUAAUGACAGUACCGGGAGAAUAAGCUCCGGCUAACUCCGUG